UUAGUAAGUUGGGAAAAAGCACAGCAGUGUGUGUGAAUACUUUGUUUUGACUUGUGUAAUUCCGGCAGAUAUAAAUAGUCAGACUGAAUGCAAAUGAGCAGCACGGAGAACACUCUGUUCUAGCGGUGCAUGUCGCUUUCCCAGAUGAUUUGAUGCGGAACUUGAUCGAUGAUCUGAUGGGACACUUACGGGCACAGAGGCCACGCCUCCUUAACCAAAGCUGACUUUUUACAACCCAUACUCUGUCACUUCCUUAUUUAGGCAUAGAAUGAAAAAUGAACUGGUUGAUCUGGAAGACAAUGUUAUACAGCGCCUGCUGUCCUUAGCGUCCUGGCUCUGGAUUCUGUUUGGUCCCUUUCCGAGUCGGUCGGUUGUCACAUGAUGAUUUGUUACCUGGUUUGGUUCGCUGUCUAACGUGUCAGAAAUUUGGCAAAAAAGAUGAGUCUGGACAUUGGACCGGUGUAUUCAGGUCGUCGUUUAUUAGACGCAGAAGAUCAAUAUGGCAUUGUAUCGAAUGAGAAAAAGAACGGAUGUGGGAAAAGUGAGACGUUUUGCUGAGGGAGAAUGUCCUCCGUUUAAGACAAGUGUGCACACACACACAUGCGCACUCUUUUUAUCCUUCAAAGCAACUUAAACAGGCUUGAACAGAGCUGACUCAGUAGAAUAUGCCCAGUGAAAAGUCAGAAAACCUUAACAAGACAAACAGGAAAGAAAUAACAGUAAUACUCUCUCCACCAUCAUGUUCUCUAGGGGUAGAAUUACUACAGCCAGAUCAAUCCACCAUUAUCCACCCAAACGUGAAGCACUGCCUGAUGGUCCAAUGUACUAGAGUUGAUCCGAUGGGUCGAAUAGUUGUGAGUUGAGUUGUUGUGCUGUUGGUUGAGAGGAUGAAUCAUUGUUAUGUUGUGGAGUUGAGCUGUUUGUUAGAGUUGGCGAGUAGAACUGUUGAGUUAUGAUUAUGUGAGUUUUGUUGGUUUGAGUUGAGUUGUUAUGUUGAUGUGAGUUGAGUUGAGUUGAGUUGGUUUGAGUGAGGUUGUUAUGAUGAUGUGAGUUGAGUUGGUUUGAGUUGAGUUGUUAUGAUGAUGUGAGUUGAGUUGUGUUGGUCUGAGUUAAGUUGUUAUGAUGAUGUGAGUUGAGUUGGUUUGAGUUGAGUUGUUAUGAUGAUGUGAGUUGUGUUGGUUUGAGUGAGUUGUUAUGAUGAUGUGAGUUGAGUUGAGUUGGUCUGAUGUUGUUAUGAUGAUGUGAGUUGAGUGUGUUGGUUUGAGUUGAGUUGUUAUGAUGAUGUGCGUUGAGUUGUGUUGGUUUGAGUUGAGUUGUUAUGAUGAUUUGAGUUGUUUUGGUUUGAGUUGAGUUGUUAUGAUGAUGUGAGUUGAGUUGGUUUGAGUUGAGUUGGUUUGAGUUGAGUUGUUAUGAUGAUGUGAGUUGAGUCGUGUUGAAGUGAGUGCUUUGUGUUAUUAUCCUCAGAGUUUAGUGUAAAGACGAUUCAAAAAGGCCGAUGUGGUUGAGAAUCUCUUCUUGUGGACCAGACCUAAAUGCCAUAAGACAUAAAUGAGACAUGAAAAUGGAUUUUUUUUUUUUUUUCAGUUUGAAAUGUGAGUUUCUUGAAUAAAAAACGCAGAUGAGCAUCUGUAUUCUGGGAAAUAAAAGCAAGUUCUCGGUACUGUACUCAUGCUGUUGCACCCGAGGGUAGCUCUCUAACUAUCCUCUGAGUGAUGGCGUUCGGAUGUUGACUAGCUCCAUCUGUCUCCCGCUGGCCGCUGGGCUUUGUGUACAUCAGAGCACGAAGGAGUGACGGAGGAAGGGAGGAGGGAAGAGAAGAGCUUUGAGCGUGAGACUGUUUUUGUUUGAAGAGGCGGGGUUUUUUUUUCCACAUCCGACCUUCAUUUCACCUAAUCUUCUUCUUCCUGCUUCACAACAACCCGCUUGUUUAUGAGCACCUGUGAGCUCUAGAGGGCUCGGAGGUUAUAGGUCGGCGGUCACGAGUUUCAUUUGGCCAAGAGGAGGAGUUAAAGAUUGACAUUUGAGACCGGUCACUGACUCAAUACUUGACCUCUUCUUCUUCUUCUUCUUCUUCCCAGCAUCUACGCAGACCAGAACAAACAUGACCGCUUGUUUUCCUCGGGGAAAGUCCGGGUCAAAACAUUCUCUUCCUGAUAUACACACGCAAAGCACACACGCUCUUCCUUGGAGCAUUCGCCCUCUGUCCCUCAACGCCCCGCGAAACUAGCCAGCUGCCUUUGUCGGGAUUGCAACGUGAUACCCCGGCCCGUCUCGUCUCUAAUUUGUAGGCAGUAAUUAGCGCUUGAGUGAAAGUCCCCGUCCCAAAAGCAGCCGACGGAAAGGUCAUCCAGCACCGAGCCUUUUUCCCUCUUGACGUCUUCCUCCUUUCGUGUGCAGGGUUGUUUUUUUUUUGUUUUUUUUUUUUGCUGGAGAUUUGGGACGAGGCCUUUUCAAUCUCCUGUUCAGUUUGCACAGCUUUGCUCUCCACUCAUUCCAGGCGUGAUGGAAAAAAAUAUGACUGAAAAUGCAUUUCGAAUCAAAUGCCCCGCGCUGCAAAAUGCAUUCGGCGGAAUAGAUUCGAGGAUAUAUUGUGUCUGUACCGAAGCCAUUUUAGAAUUUGCAUUUCAGACGUGAUCCGCGUCGUUAAAACGCCGAAACGGCGGGCGUAUCUCGGUUUACGUCGGCACCUGGGCAUUUUACGAAGCGCUCUAAGUAUUAAAGGAACAAUCGAUCGGACGAGUAAUGGAAGUUUAUAGUUCUCACCCCAAAAAUCUGUUUCGGAAAUCCGUACCUAAAAUGGUUUCACAGCAGUAAAACUGCAGUAAAAAAUAAACCUGUACUCAUAAAUAUACAGUAAAUGUAAGCGUGUUACAGUCAGACACCAAACUUGGCUGAGCGACUAUAUUUGCCGGUAAAAAACAAAAAAAUGAGGAGGAGGAGAUGUGUAAGUGUUUUCUGUGAGCGAACUUUAUUUAAUACAUAGUGAAAAUGAAUGCAGGUGCGUGGUCAUGUCUCGAGAGUAGUAAUAAUUUAAUAAAUCAGAAUGAUUAAUGGGUUGAAAGUGCUAUUUUUGAAAUCCGGACCUAAAUUCUAUUAGAAUUGUGUUACUGUAGCAAUAAUCAGCAUUCAAUUAGCUAAUGCGCAUUGA
ensembl:lncRNA